CACCUCCUUUAUAAAGACUUGGGCACUUCACAGCUGGUAGGCACAGAGAAUCAGAUCACCUGUAUCUCUCAGCUGCUGACUUUGCUCUCUCUUCCAGUCUUUGGCUGCAACUAUCAAUCUGUGUGCAGGAUGAAGUUUGUCAUGAUCUUUCUCGUGUUGGCACUGGUCGUCCUCAUGGCUGAAACUGGGGAGUGUGGCUGUUUUUUUAUGAUGGGACGAGCAUUGGCAGAUAUGAGAGCCAAGCGUGAUGUCGACACAUCUGGAGGGAAUGGGAAUCAAAGAAAAAUUGACUGGAAAAAAUUAAAGAAACAAAUUGGGUGCCCAGUUGAUUAGAGGUCUCACCAAGACACAUUCUUUCAGCUGUAUGAUUUGGGGGGAAAUGCAUUGCUCUUUAGGUCCUACAGCUUUGUAAUGCAGGAAAUAAGUGGAUAAAACACAAACUUAACUGGUUUUAGAAAACUGUCUGUUGCUUGAUAUUGCUAAAUGUCCUGAUGAAUAAAAUUGCAUGACAUAAAGUCAAA